rnacentral:rRNA from 1 species
AACGUAGGAGGCGAGCGUUAUCCGGAUUUACUGGGCGUAAAGCGCGUGCAGGCGGUGCGAUAAGUCGUGCGUGAAAGCUCCCAGGCUUAACCGGGAGAGGACGUGCGAGACUGUCGGACUAGAGGCAGGUAGAGGCAAGUGGAAUUCCGGGUGUAGUGGUGAAAUGCGUAGAGAUCCGGAGGAACCCCGGUGGCGAAGGCGACUUGCUGGGCCUGAACUGACGCUCAGACGCGAAAGCAUGGGGAGCGAACGGG